rnacentral:rRNA from 1 species
CCUACGGGAGACAGCAGUGGGGAAUAUUGGGCAAUGGACGCAAGUCUGACCCAGCAACGCCGCGUGAAGGAAGAAGGCUUUCGGGUUGUAAACUUCUUUUAAGGGGGAAGAGCAGAAGACGGUACCCCUUGAAUAAGCCACGGCUAACUACGUGCCAGCAGCCGCGGUAAGACGGAGGUGGCAAGCGUUGUCCGGAUUUACUGGGUGUAAAGGGCGUGCAGCAGGAGAGACAAGUCAGAUGUGAAAUCCACAGGCUCAAACUGUGAACUGCAUGUGAAACUGUUUCCCUUGAGUAUCGGAGAGGUCAUCGGAACUGCUAGUGUAGCGGUGAAAUGCGUAGAUAUUAGGAAGAACACCAGUGGCGAAGGCGGAUGACUGGACGACAACUGACGGUGAGGCGCGAAAGCGUGGGGAGCAAACAGGAUUAGAUACCCCAGUAGUC